GCCAAAGGAGGGAGUUUCAAUUGUAUUUAAGGGCCUAGGUGGCAGAGAGCCCUUACAGUGAGCCAGUGCCUCUUGAAAAGCAAGGUAUAGGAGAGGAAGGACAGAGAUUGCAGCAGAGGAAAGCAGAGUGGUGGCCUGCUUGGGGCCUGCUGGUCCAGUGGAGGGAGAGACAGACAGACAGAGAGUGCCUGUGGCUUACCUCCCUCUCUUCCCUGCUCCUUUUAAUUUGUAGUGCCAACAACAGCUUUUUCUUUCUUUCUUUUUUUAAAAUUGUACCAGCAGCCACAGUGGUUUUAACUGGGUGCUGCUUUGAAAUUUUUUUCUUGUGUGAAUUUCUUCUUAUUCUUGUAACCAGCUCCCAGUGGCUUUAAUAACUGGGUUACUACUACUGCUGUGUGCCUCGACUGGACUUCUUUUGGGGGUGGGGGUAGGCUGGUGUGCUGUGAUUUCUGUCUAGUGCCCAGCCUACCCAGGCUCUCUCUGUUUCCCUGGUGUUCCUUUUUUGUGUUUUUCCAGCUUUUAAAAAAAUUGGGUGGGUGGUGGGUGGGUGCCUGACUGGUACCCACUGGCCUUCCCACAAGCUGUUGAGUCUCAGCCCAAGUGCCUUGGGAAGCAACACCUAGACAGACUCCAGCAGAAGCGACUGAGAGGAGACACCAGAAGAAGGAACAAGGUGAUCGGUCUGAAGGAAGACAGGAUUGCUUUGCCUGUUCUGUUCCAAUGCCUCACUGCUAUUUUGUUAUGGAAUUUGAAGAAAAAGAAGAAAAGACGAAUAGAGAGGAGGAGGAGAUUUAUUUUUAGAGGAAAUUCUGAAUAAGAUGCUUCCUACUGACUUGCAGAUACCACAUUUUGCAUGGACAGUCCUGUCACUGAAUGCACUACCAAAAUACACUCAGGGAAAGGUUGAAACUUUUUAAAAAAAAUUAGAGGAAAUACUGAAUAAAAUACUUCC